GACGAACGCUGGCGGCGUGCUUAACACAUGCAAGUCGAACGGAAAGGCCCCUUUGGGGGUACUCGAGUGGCGAACGGGUGAGUAACACGUGAGUAACCUGCCCUUGACUUCGGGAUAACUUCAGGAAACUGGGGCUAAUACCGGAUAGGAAUCCUUGCUGCAUGGUGGGGGUUGGAAAGCUUCGGCGGUUUUGGAUGGACUCGCGGCUUAUCAGCUUGUUGGUGGGGUAGUGGCUUACCAAGGCUUUGACGGGUAGCCGGCCUGAGAGGGCGACCGGCCACAUUGGGACUGAGAUACGGCCCAGACGCCUACGGGAGGCAGCAGUGGGGAAUAUUGCACAAUGGGCGGAAGCCUGAUGCAGCAACGCCGCGUGCGGGAUGACGGCCUUCGGGUUGUAAACCGCUUUCAGCAGGGGCGAAGCUUGUGGUGACGGUACCGGCAGAAGAAGCACCGGCUAACUACGUG
rnacentral:rRNA from 1 species